UAUCCGCCGAUAGAGUCACACCAACCGAGCAAGCCGAUGAACCAGCCUUGAUUCAAAAUGACUUACCUGAGGAUGAUAAUCCAGAUGUCCAAGGAGAACAACUUCCAGUUGAGGAGGAUGGUUUUAAAGGAGCAGAACUUGAGGAAGGAAAGGAUGGAACAAUCCCAAUGGAUACAGAGGAGAACACAGAUACAAAUGAUUCUGUCAGGAGAUCUGAAAGAAAUCGUCAACCACCACGACGGCUUGAUUAUACAGAGCUAGGAAAUCCUUUGAUCACAGCAGUGAAAUCAUUCUUUCAAGGACUGUCCACAGCUUGGGAAGAAGUCAUAAGAGAAGAACCUGUCCAACCCCCUGCCCUGACCCCUCGAAUAAUUUUCCUUUAACUGUAUACUAUGCACAGGGACGUGCAUAAGUUCAGGAGGGGAGGGUGUAACCAGGUGUAAGAAACACUGUUAAUUUAGUACCAUAAAAGAAGAGAGACUGUUUACUUUAAUUAUCUUAUUUAUUUUGAAUGCAUCGCUCAACUCGCAUGGUCCCACGUAGGGUACCUAGUUCUCAGCAGCCAAUCAGAAGCUACGCAGGCCACGCUCAGCCUGUCGGCUCGGAGAGGAAGUGCAGUCGCGUUGCUCUUCCAGUCUUUUCGGAUCUCAGCCAGAGAAGCGAGGGCAGCUGUGUGUUAAGGAGAAGAGGAAAACCAGAGAAAAAACCCAGAGUGAAACCUGUGAAAAAGGAAAAAGAGUCGGAGCACUUACCCAGUAGAGGUCCGGAGCCAAGUGGCUGAACGAAGGAGAGUUACGUCGGCUAACUGCUUGCCUGUCCUCCGGAGAGCUGCUACGAGGUUCGGCAUCGGCAUGCUCCACCUUGAUACACAGAGCAACGGUCAGGUUUUUUAGAGGACUGAAGAGUCUGAGGUUCAGGACAACUUCCUGCUGUAAAAGAUGGCGAGCCAACUACCCUGAUUGAAGAUUAGCACCAAGGAGAUAUUCACGUACACACUCAUUCACACAAAUAAUACACUCACAUUACACUACAAGGAACCUUGGAAUCAGGUGAACUUGCAACAACUUCUUUUAUUUUAAGGACCCCAACAGACAUUUUUGUUUUAAGUGUGCACACUACUUUUUUAUUUUUCUUACUGUUUGGUAUAAUAUUUUGCAUUUUGUACGAACCAGACAAAUUACUUUGUUCACUGUAAAAUAUAAGAGUGGCUACUCAAUUGUUA